rnacentral:misc_RNA from 1 species
GGAAUCAGACACGAAAAAAAAAAAAGGAACUGGCCAUAGUGGUUGACAAUUAAUUUGGAUGAUACAAUGCAGAAUCCUAAACAAGGGAGAUUUUGUUUGAUUGAUGAAAUCUAUGCUCUAAGUCCCGUGGCAAUCAUGUAACAUAUAGUACAAAACUUCUUUCUGUAGCUUCAUUUGGAGGUCAUCCAUAGAAGUACUGCCAAGCAGCAGCAAUACCAGCCACCAGUAUCACUCUGAGAAUCAGCUUAUAACUGACUUUUGAUGAAGAGGAUGGGGGCGGUGGUUCCAACGGUUUUCCUCUCAAUUUAGCUGAUAACUUGGACAGUAGUACGCCUAUCGGACCACUGGGCUUGGCAGCUUUAUUUUUCAGAAGCCUCUCCUCCUCAUCAACACGCCUACGUAACGCAUUAAGCAGUGAUCCAAAAUAUAGAGCAAAUACAGUGCAUGUAAUCGUGAUGACAUUGUAUGGCAUGC